AUGUCCACAUUACACACCAACAACAUGGCGUCUCCUCUGUUAGCCAUCCUCCUCCUGUCAUCAGCUUUGAACCACUUCUCAUCUGCUGCAACACUAGCCUAUAGUAGCACCCUCACCAGCAGAGAUGCUCUGCUCUGCCUCAAGUCCCGCCUCCGCGGCAACACACAGGCCAUGGCUACGUGGAACAACAGCGCCUCACCGGAUUUCUGCACUUGGUCCGGGGUCACAUGCACAAGGAGGACAGGGCAACCACCCCUUGUGGUGGCCUUGGAUAUGGAGGCGGAAGGACUCGCCGGUGAGAUCCCUCCAUGCAUCUCCAACCUCACUUCUCUGGUAAGAAUACACUUGCCUCACAACCAGCUCUCCGGCCAUAUCCCGUCGGAACUUGGUCGGCUCUCUGGACUCAGGUACCUCAACCUCAGCGUGAACACGCUCAGCGGCACCAUCCCUCUCAGUCUUGGUGCGCUUCACAACCUUUCUUCUCUAGACUUGGGUAGCAAUGGACUAUCCGGUGAAAUUCCACCUUUCAUGAAGUCAAAGCUCACAUACCUAAGUCUAGUCGGAAACAGCCUUACCGGAGCCGUGCCGCCAUCGGUAGCAAAUCUCUCAUCCCUUACAUACCUCUUGCUUGCGCAAAACCAGUUGCAAGGACCCAUUCCUGAUUUGGGUGAACUGUCAAGCCUACAAAACCUUGAUCUCUCCUACAACAAUCUAUCAGGGACAGUACCGCCCUCCAUUUACAAUUUGUCCUCAUUAAACUACCUUGGGUUGUCCAACAAUAAUCUUGGAGGAACACUACCUUCUGGUAUGGGCAACACACUUCCUAACAUCCAAAUACUGAUGAUGCAUAAUAAUCAUUUUGAGGGGGCUAUCCCAGCCUCGCUGCAGAAUGCCUCCAGCAUGACGAUUAUCCAUCUAGGCAACAACUCUUUGACUGGGGUGAUUCCUUCUUUUGGCUCCAUGCCAAACUUGAAGCAUGUAAUGUUGUACUCAAAUCAGCUAGAAGCCGGGGACUGGGCAUUCUUCUCCUCCUUAGCAAAUUGUACACGUUUGCAGCAACUGAACUUGGGUAGAAACAACCUUCAAGGAGAUUUACCACCGAAUUCCAUAGAGAAUCUGCCCAAAAGCUUGACCGCUCUAACUCUUCGGUCAAACAACAUCUCUGGCACCAUUCCCUUGGAGAUUGGAAACUUGUCUAAUCUUGCCAUGCUCUAUCUUGAUAGAAAUCUUUUCGGUGGGCCUAUACCUUCUACCCUUGGUCAACUAAGCAAUCUUGUCGUGCUUAGCCUAUCACAGAACAAUUUUUCUGGGGAAAUACCUCCUUCCGUUGGAAGCCUACACCAGCUGCAAGAGCUCUAUUUGCAAGAAAAUCGAUUGAGUGGAAGCAUACCUGCAAGUCUAGCCAGCUGUGAGAACUUACUUGCAUUAAACCUUUCAUGUAAUACCCUUGGUGGAAGCAUAAGUGGAGACAUGUUGGGCAAGUUGAAUCAGUUGAGUUGGCUACUUGAUUUAUCACACAACCAACUCGCAAUGUCCAUACCAGUAGAGAUGGGUAGCUUGAUAAACCUUGGUUCCUUGAACAUCUCCCACAACAAUCUCACGGGAAGAAUACCGUCCACACUCGGUGCUUGUGUCCGAUUGGAAGCGCUUCGUGUAGAAGGGAACCUCCUGCAAGGAAACAUCCCACAAUCGCUAGCAAACCUGAAAGGCAUCCAAAUGUAUGAUUUCUCCAACAACAACCUAUCUGGUACAAUUCCAGAGUUCCUCGAGACCUUCACCUCGUUGCAGUAUCUGAAUAUGUCCUUCAACAACUUGGAAGGACCAGUCCCCAUAGGUGGAGUGUUUGCUAACACAAGUGGUAUUUUUGUCCAAGGAAAUCCACACCUUUGUUCAAAUGGUGCAUUAAGAGAGCUUCCUAGAUGCUUUGCUUUGGCAUCCACAAAAAAUCAAAAGUUUUUUGUUCCUAUGAUGAUAGCUCUGUCAGCUCUUGUCGCAAUUGCUUUAAUCUUGGGGGUGUUCAAUUUUUGGUUGAGAAAGAGAUACACAUCCGGUGAGAGAACUGGCCAUUCAUACAUGGAGUUGAAAAGGAUAACAUAUGGUGACGUAAUCAAAGCAACAGAUAGUCUUUCUCUAGCCAAUGUAGUCGGCUCCGGGCAAUUUGGGACUGUCUACAAAGGUUGGUUCGACGCGGAAGAUGGUACGGUUGCUGUUAAAGUCUUCAAGCUCAAUCAGCAUGGUGCAUUGCAUAGCUUCAUUGCUGAGUGCAAAGCUUUGCAACACAUCCGCCAUCGGAAUCUCGUGAAGGUGAUAACUGCAUGCUCAACUUAUGACCUAGUGGGAAAUGAGUUCAGGGCUCUAGUCUUUGAGUAUAUGGCCAACGGGAGCCUUGAAGACCGACUUCACAACCACCAGUGUGGUGCUUUGAGUUUAGGCGCAGUGAUCUGUAUAUCAGUUGACAUUGCUUGUGCUCUUGAAUACCUACAUAACCAGUGCAUCCCACCGGUUGUUCACUGCGAUCUAAAACCAAGCAACAUACUUUUCAACAAUGAUGAUACUGCACGUGUCUGCGACUUUGGUCUGGCAAAGCUAAUUCAUGGAUGUUCGUCUGGAGGGCAGAGCGGCACAACAAGCAUAGUUGGACCAAGGGGAUCUAUUGGGUACAUACCUCCUGAGUAUGGCAUGGGCAGUGAAAUCUCAACUGAGGGUGACGUCUACAGCUAUGGCAUUGUUCUUUUGGAAAUGCUUACACGGAAACGGCCUACCAAUGAAGAGUUCAGUGAUGGCUUGACGCUCCACAAGUAUGUAGAUGCAUCACUUUCACAAACCCAAGACAUUCUUCACCCCGGUCUUACUUUAGAGACGGGAGAUCAGCGUGUCGAUCAUAUCCCAAACUUGCAAGAGCACAACACAUUUGCACUGAAGGAUAUAUGUGCUCUCCGGCUCCUUAGACUUGGCUUAUUAUGCUCUGCGGAAUCACCGAAGGAUCGCCCAGCGAUGCAUGAUGUCUACGGCGAAGUAACUGAAGUAAAAGAGGCAUAUUUCUCUAUUGACAACUGA
rnacentral:rRNA from 1 species